rnacentral:misc_RNA from 1 species
GAUGAAGAACGUAGCGAAAUGCGAUAAGUAAUGUGAAUUGCAGAAUUCAGUGAAUCAUCGAAUCUUUGAACGCACAUUGCGCCCGCCAGUAUUCUGGCGGGCAUGCCUGUUCGAGCGUCAUUACAACCCUCAGGCCCCCGGGCCUGGCGUUGGGGAUCGGCGGAAGCCCCCUGUGGGCACACGCCGUCCCUCAAAUACAGUGGCAGUCCCGCCGCAGCUUCCAUUGCGUAGUAGCUAACACCUCGCAACUGGAGAGCGGCGCGGCCAUGCCGUAAAACACCCAACUUCUGAAUGUUGACCUCGAAUCAGGUAGGAAUACCCGCUGAACUUAAGCAUAUCAAUAAGCGGAGGA